CCAUCCUAGUACUACUCU
rnacentral:snRNA from 1 species